rnacentral:rRNA from 1 species
GAUGAACGCUAGCUACAGGCUUAACACAUGCAAGUCAAGGGGCAGCAUGGUCUUAGCUUGCUAAGGCCGAUGGCGACCGGCGCACGGGUGAGUAACACGUAUCCAACCUGCCGUCUACUCUUGGACAGCCUUCUGAAAGGAAGAUUAAUACAAGAUGGCAUCAUGAGUCCGCAUGUUCACAUGAUUAAAGGUAUUCCGGUAGACGAUGGGGAUGCGUUCCAUUAGAUAGUAGGCGGGGUAACGGCCCACCUAGUCUUCGAUGGAUAGGGGUUCUGAGAGGAAGGUCCCCCACAUUGGAACUGAGACACGGUCCAAACUCCUACGGGAGGCAGCAGUGAGGAAUAUUGAUCAAUGGGCGCAGGCCUGAACCAGCCAAGUAGCGUGAAGGAUGACUGCCCUAUGGGUUGUAAACUUCUUUUAUAAAGGAAUAAAGUCGGGUAUGUAUACCCGUUUGCAUGUACCUUAUGAAUAAGGAUCGGCUAACUCCGUG